GAACCUGCGGAAGGAUCAUUAUCGUGGGGCCCCGGCCCCGUCGAGAUAGAACCCUUGCCUUUUUCGAGCACCCAUCCGUUUCCUCGGCAGGCUCGCCUGCCAGCGGGGACCCAAACCAAACCCUUUUUCAUCCUGUACGCGUCUGAGAAACAAACAAAAGUUAAAACUUUCAACAACGGAUCUCUUGGUUCUGGCAUCGAUGAAGAACGCAGCAAAAUGCGAUAAGUAGUGUGAAUUGCAGAAUUCAGUGAACCAUCGAAUCUUUGAACGCACAUUGCGCCCCUUGGUAUUCCUUGGGGCAUGCCUGUUCGAGCGUCAUUUGACCCCUCAAGCCCAGCUUGGUGAUGGGCGUCUGUCCCCGCCCCCGCGCGAGGACUCGCCCCAAAAUCAUUGGCGGCCGGUACGUUGGCUUCGAGCGCAGCAGAAACGCACCUCGACCCCGGCGGACCGGCUCCCAGAAGCUUUACCAUCUUGACCUCGGAUCAGGUAGGGAUACCCGCUGGACUUAAGCAUAUCAAUAAGCG
rnacentral:rRNA from 1 species